rnacentral:tRNA from 1 species
GUGCUAUUAGCUCAGCUGGAUAGAGUAUUUGGCUACGAACCAAAAGGUCGGGGGUUCGAAUCCCUCAUAGCACG